rnacentral:rRNA from 1 species
AUUGAACGCUGGCGGCAGGCCUAACACAUGCAAGUCGAGCGGAUGAAGGGAGCUUGCUCCUGGAUUCAGCGGCGGACGGGUGAGUAAUGCCUAGGAAUCUGCCUGGUAGUGGGGGAUAACGUCCGGAAACGGGCGCUAAUACCGCAUACGUCCUGAGGGAGAAAGUGGGGGAUCUUCGGACCUCACGCUAUCAGAUGAGCCUAGGUCGGAUUAGCUAGUUGGUGGGGUAAAGGCCUACCAAGGCGACGAUCCGUAACUGGUCUGAGAGGAUGAUCAGUCACACUGGAACUGAGACACGGUCCAGACUGCUACGGGAGGCAGCAGUGGGGAAUAUUGGACGAUGGGCGAAAGCCUGAUCCAGCCAUGCCGCGUGUGUGAAGAAGGUCUUCGGAUUGUAAAGCACUUUAAGUUGGGAGGAAGGGCAGUAAGUUAAUACCUUGCUGUUUUGACGUUACCAACGGAAUAAGCACCGGCUAACUUCGUG